rnacentral:rRNA from 1 species
AUUGAACGCUGGCGGCAUGCCUUACACAUGCAAGUCGAACGGUAACAGGUCUUCGGAUGCUGACGAGUGGCGAACGGGUGAGUAAUGCAUCGGAACGUGCCCAGUUGUGGGGGAUAACUGCUCGAAAGAGCAGCUAAUACCGCAUACGACCUGAGGGUGAAAGCGGGGGAUCGCAAGACCUCGCGCAAUUGGAGCGGCCGAUGUCAGAUUAGGUAGUUGGUGGGGUAAAGGCCUACCAAGCCGACGAUCUGUAGUUGGUCUGAGAGGACGACCAGCCACACUGGGACUGAGACACGGCCCAGACUCCUACGGGAGGCAGCAGUGGGGAAUUUUGGACAAUGGGCGCAAGCCUGAUCCAGCAAUGCCGCGUGCAGGAAGAAGGCCUUCGGGUUGUAAACUGCUUUUGUCAGGGAAGAAAUCCUCUGGGUUAAUACCCCGGGGGGAUGACGGUACCUGAAGAAUAAGCACCGGCUAACUACGUGCCAGCAGCCGCCGUAAAAC